AGAGUUUGAUCCUGGCUCAGGAUGAACGCUAGCUACAGGCUUAACACAUGCAAGUCGAGGGGAAACGACAUCGAAAGCUUGCUUUUGAUGGGCGUCGACCGGCGCACGGGUGAGUAACGCGUAUCCAACCUGCCCACCACUUGGGGAUAACCUUGCGAAAGUAAGACUAAUACCCAAUGACGUCUCUAGAGGACAUCUGAAAGAGAUUAAAGAUUUAUCGGUGAUGGAUGGGGAUGCGUCUGAUUAGCUUGUUGGCGGGGUAACGGCCCACCAAGGCUACGAUCAGUAGGGGUUCUGAGAGGAAGGUCCCCCACAUUGGAACUGAGACACGGUCCAAACUCCUACGGGAGGCAGCAGUGAGGAAUAUUGGUCAAUGGACGAGAGUCUGAACCAGCCAAGUAGCGUGCAGGAUGACGGCCCUAUGGGUUGUAAACUGCUUUUAUAAGGGAAUAAAGUGAGUCUCGUGAGGCUUUUUGCAUGUACCUUAUGAAUAAGGACCGGCUAAUUCCGUGCCAGCAGCCGCGGUAAUACGGAAGGUCCGGGCGUUAUCCGGAUUUAUUGGGUUUAAAGGGAGCGUAGGCCGGAGAUUAAGCGUGUUGUGAAAUGUAGAUGCUCAACAUCUGCACUGCAGCGCGAACUGGUUUCCUUGAGUACGCACAAAGUGGGCGGAAUUCGUGGUGUAGCGGUGAAAUGCUUAGAUAUCACGAAGAACUCCGAUUGCGAAGGCAGCUCACUGGAGCGCAACUGACGCUGAAGCUCGAAAGUGCGGGUAUCGAACAGGAUUAGAUACCCUGGUAGUCCGCACGGUAAACGAUGGAUGCCCGCUGUUGGUCUGAAUAGGUCAGCGGCCAAGCGAAAGCAUUAAGCAUCCCACCUGGGGAGUACGCCGGCAACGGUGA
rnacentral:rRNA from 1 species